CCUGACGGUAGUCGUAUGCUCGUCUCCGAGACUAAGCCAUGCAAGUCCAAGUACACGUCCUUGAACGACGGAAACUGCGAACGGCUCAUUAAAUCAGUUGCGAUCUACUCGGCGUUCCGCGCCGCCGGAUAACCGUAGUAAUUCUAGGGCUAAUACGUGCGAAGCGCCCGAAGCCGCGAGGCGACGGGCGUUCUCGCCGGAUGUAGGAACCGACCCGGGGACCGCCGGGGGCAACCCGGCGCCCCCGAGACGGGGCGAACCACGGUGAAAUGACGGAUCGUCGGCCCCGCGCCGGCGACUCGCCGAAUGAGUUUCUGACCUAUCAACUCGAGACGGCGGGGUAGAGGCCCGCCGCGGUAACGACGGGUAACGGGGAAUCAGGGUUCGAUUCCGGAGAGGGAGCCCCGAGAAACGGCUACCACUUCCAAGGAAGGCAGCAG
rnacentral:rRNA from 1 species